CGCGGGGUGGAGCAGCUUGGUAGCUCGUCGGGCUCAUAACCCGAAGGUCGUCGGUUCAAAUCCGGUCCCCGCAACCA
rnacentral:tRNA from 5 species